UUGUAUCAUUUUUUUACGAAGAACAGAAAUAAAAAUAUCAUCAGUUCUUCUCUAUCUCUCUCUCUCUCUCUCUCUCUCUCUCUCUCUUUCAUCUCAAAACUAAUCUGUUCAUCAAUGGAGUUCAGUAAUUUUGACAUGGUAUCAAAGCGGGGAUUCCGAUUCCGAUCAUCACGGGCUACGUCGCGAUGUUACCCUCACUGGAUUUCGUUAAAGUUUCUGUCUUCUCUGGCAAAUCUAGGUUUUUUCUCUUUUUCUCUGUCUUCUCUGGUUAUCAUUCAGUAAUCGUUGAUUUUUCUGAGUUUUUUGAGUCUCACACUUCUCCUCAUCAGUUCAAACAUAGGAUUAAUUCGUUUCCUGAAGUCCUUGUGUGUCUAGAAACAAUUAGGGUUUUCAUCUUACAAGUUACAAGUCUAUCAGUCAAAAAUGGUUAAUGCUGGUGAUACCUCUGAGUCUAGGACUGAUAAUGUUGUCAUUGAUCCCUCGAAUCCUUUGUUUCUCUUGUCCUCUGAUGUCCCGGGAAUAUCUUUGGUAAGCAAUCAUUUUUCAGGGAUUGUUUUGGGGGAUGGAGACGUAAUAUAAUCGUCUCCCUAUCUGCUAGAAAUAAGAUAGGCUUCAUUGACGGAACCAUUCCCAAACCUCCAGAAAACUCUCCUCAGUAUAGACAAUGGGAUAGGUGCAACAACAUGGUUAUCUCCUGGCUUACUAAUUCCCUUGCGCCGGAGAUAGUCGAGAGUGUUCAGUAUUCCGACACUGCUCAAAGCAUCUGGAAUCAGCUUAACAGUAGAUAUGGGACUGUGAAUGGGACCAUGAUAUUUGAGAUUAAACAGGAGUUGGCAUCAACUAAUCAGGGGUCUUUGGAUAUAGCAUCCUAUUUCAACAAGUUAAAGAAACUAUGGGAUGAGCUAUGUUUCAUGCGAGCAUCUCGGUGUAAUACUUGCACAUGCAAUGCCAGAUCUGAGCUUCAAAAGAAGGAUGAUGAAAAUAAAUUGCAUCAGUUUCUAAUGGGGCUCAAUGAUAUAUAUGUGGGAGUUAGGAGCAACAUUCUCAUGUUACAGCCUCCACCAAGUCUGGAUUGUGCAUACAACAUUUUACUCCAAGAUGAGAGACAGAGACAAGUUUCAUCACCUUCCCAAUUUCGUCAUGAUUCGAGUGUCUUCAAUACUCAUCUCAGCAACAAAUCCCCUCCUAUCACAAAAUUUCCUCCUUCCACAGCUGGGUACCCUAAGCUGUUUAAUCUUUCUCAAUUUCGUCAUGAUUCGAGUGUCUUCAAUACUCAUCUCAGCAACAAAUCCCCUCCUAUCACAAAAUUUCCUCCUUCCACAGCUGGGUACCCUAAGCUGUUUAAUCAGAGACUCAACUUUGACAUCAACAAGGCAACCUUAGUAUGUAGGUAUUGUAAGAAACCUGGUCACCUCAUUGACAAGUGCUACAAACUCCACGGUUUUCCAUCAGACUUCAAAUUCACAAAAGGUGUUCCAUCAGAUUUCAAAUUCACAAAAGGAAGGAGGAGUGCAGCUCAUGUUGAAGUGCAGGGGAGUCUAAACUCUGCUGGAAACCAGACCAAUAUUGCCAAUGAUCAGGGGGCUUCUGAAUCAGAGUCUGUCAUACCUGGCUUAACCAAAGAUCAGUACUCACAGCUUAUGUUGUUACUCCAUCAGACACAAAUUUCAGAGUCUCAUCAGCAGUCAAGUCUUAUGGCAUCCGCCAAUUUUGCUAGUAACUUUUCUUCAACCACUCACGGAGACUCAGCAGCAGUCAAGUCUUAUGGCAUCAGCCAAUUUUGCUGGUAAUUUUUCUUCAACCACUCACUUAAAAAUUGUAUCUUAUGAGGCUUGCAUGCUAACUAAGAUAAGUGACUGCAUCUGGAUUAUAGACUCUGGUGCCACUGAUCACAUGACCUCUAAUAAAGACCUUCUAUUUGACAUUAAACCCUUAGUUCUUCUCUCAAUGAUUAUUCUCUUUUCCUUAAGAAAUCUGACCCUUCUAUUGUCUUGUUGGAUGUAUAUGUUGAUGACAUCAUUCUUACUGGUUAUAAUUUGGAGGAUAUUUCUGCUUUGAAAAGCUUUCUGGAUCAUGAGUUUAAACUCAAGGACUUAGGGGUGCUGAACUAUUUUUUGGGUAUUGAGGUCUCUUAUCUUCCUACUGGGCUUCUUCUCCACCAAAAAAAAUUCAUCGCUGACCUCCUCAUGGCCUAUCACUGUGAAGAUGUAUCUCCUGUUACUUGCGCUCUUAACCUCUCUAUUAAUCUCAAACUGGAUUACCAGAAAAAAUUCAUCACUCACCUCCUCUUGGCCUAUCACUAUGAAGAUGUAUCUCCUGUUACUUGCCCUCUUGACCUCUCUGUUAAACUCAAACUGGAUUUAGGGGAUCCUCUUCCCUCUCC
rnacentral:lncRNA from 1 species